GCUCCUGGGCCAGCGGUGAGGCUGCCGGGGCACCCCGCGCUCCCUGACACCGUCACUGGGGGUUGUCGCCGGCAGGGAAGGGCUGGCAGGGGCCGGGGGCACGUGUCCCCUUUUCCUGGAUGUUUGGAGCCGCCUUUGCCUGUGCUGUCCCCAGCCCAAGUGACCCUGCACUCACCCGAGCUUCUAAAUCUCCUCCAUUUCUCUUCCCUGCCGCUCUGUCCCACAGAAGAGGAGUCGACCGAGCAGACAUCGCAGGUGAGGGGCUGGUGUCCAUCCCUGAGGGUCCCCUGGCUCAGGAAGGAGGGAGGGCACUGUGAGUGUCACCUCUCCUCUGCUCUGGGGUGCCCACAGGCGUCUUCGCCCAGCCAGUCGUCCGUCAGGGAGAAGAACAGCACCCCGAGGAAGAGGAAGGCCCCUCUGCCUCCCCUGGGCACCUCCAGCCAGGUGAGAAAUGGAUCCCCAGGUCCUCACCUGGCCUGGCAGGUGCAGAGCAGCCCAAACCACUCCUCAGUGAGAGGUCCCUCAUUGGGGGGUCUGUGCCAAAAAGCCCCCUCAGGCACGCCGUGGGAUUUCUGGGGGUUCUUGUGCCAGGAGUUGGACUCAGUGCUUUCCGUGGUUCCCUGCAGGAGGACCGGGAUGCCUACGAGGAGAUCGUGCGGCUGCGGCAGGAGAGGGCCCAGUUCCUGCAGAAGAUCCGGGGCUUGGAGCAGCAGGAGAAGCAGAGACGGGAGGUACCGGCUGCAGGGUCCUGGGGAGAUGCUCCCGUGUCCCCAGGGAGAAGAGGGGACGGGCAGAUGGGGACAGCACUCAUCCCUCCCUGUUUUCUCCCUGGGUCCUGCCAGCGGGCGGAGCUGGAUGAGAGCUCCCUGCGCUCCAUGGAGAAGCAGAUCCGGGAGCUGGAGGAGCAGCUGGUGGCACGGGAUGGGGAGAAGAACAAGCUGGGCAAGGAGGUGGAGGCUCUGCGGAGCCGCCUAUCCUCGAUGGAGGUGGGUGUGGGCAGGACACAGCUGGCAGUGCCCAGGGCUGGGGACAGGGGGGUCACCUCCACCCUGCACCCCCAGAAUGAGAAGGAGAACACGAGCUAUGACAUCGAGACGCUGCAAGACGAGGAGGGGGUCCCACUCGAGUUCCCAGGUAGAUCUUGCCAGCCUCCCAAGGACACCUUGGGGAGGUGGCACUGGGCAGUGGGGGCACAGUGGGCACAGCCCCAGGUCUCUGUGCCCUGCAGGAGCGGAGAUGUUGCUCUCCAAGAAGACACUGAGCCCCUCGGCCGAGGAGCUGCUGGCCACACUCCAGGGGCAGGUGCAGUCCCUGACCGUGCAGAACAAGGAGCUGAGGGAGAAAAUCCAGGCACGUCCCCCUCUGUCCCUCCGUCUGUCCCUCUGUUCCUUGUCCCCUGGCCCACAGCGGCCUCACGGUCUGUCGGCAGGUGCUGGAGAACUACGAGCGGGACGAGAGCAGCCCCGCUGCCCCGGGGGACGUGGUGCCCGCCAGUCUGUACCAGGCCCUGCAGCGGGAGCUGGAGCGGCUGCGGGCGCAGGGCAGGG
ensembl:lncRNA ankyrin repeat domain-containing protein 24-like